AUUGAACGCUGGCGGCAUGCCUUACACAUGCAAGUCGAACGGCAGCGGGGGAGAAGCUUGCUUUUCCUGCCGGCGAGUGGCGAACGGGUGAGUAAUACAUCGGAACGUGCCCUGUAGUGGGGGGUAACUAGUCGAAAGAUUAGCUAAUACCGCAUACGACCUGAGGGUGAAAGUGGGGGACCGCAAGGCCUCAUGCUAUAGGAGCGGCCGAUGUCUGAUUAGCUAGUUGGUGGGGUAAAGGCCUACCAAGGCGACGAUCAGUAGCUGGUCUGAGAGGACGAUCAGCUACACUGGGACUGAGACACGGCCCAGACUCCUACGGGAGGCAGCAGUGGGGAAUUUUGGACAAUGGGCGAAAGCCUGAUCCAGCAAUGCCGCGUGUGUGAAGAAGGCCUUCGGGUUGUAAAGCACUUUUGUCCGGAAAGAAAUGGCUCUGGUUAAUGCCUGGGGUCGAUGACGGUACUGGAAGAAUAAGGACCGGCUAACUACGUGCCAGCAGCCGCCGCAG
rnacentral:rRNA from 1 species